GACAGAGGAUGCAAGCGUUGUCCGGAAUUAUUGGGCGUAAAGAGCUCGUAGGCGGUUUUGUCGCGUCUGCUGUGAAAACCCGAGGCUCAACCUCGGGCCUGCAGUGGGUACGGGCAGACUAGAGUGCGGUAGGGGAGAUUGGAAUUCCUGGUGUAGCGGUGGAAUGCGCAGAUAUCAGGAGGAACACCAAUGGCGAAGGCAGAUCUCUGGGCCGUAACUGACGCUGAGGAGCGAAAGCAUGGGGAGCGAACAGG
rnacentral:rRNA from 1 species